rnacentral:lncRNA from 1 species
GCAUUAUAAGCAGCUUGAAAGAGACGGUGAGAGGAGGGCAAGAAAGGACACAAUAACCCAGUUGGGCCUAACUAACACACAGGGCUGCAGCUCCCAGGGUGCUGGGAUGGGGUCAGGUUAAGAGGGCAGAAAGGGAUGGCCCAGCAAGGGCCUAAGGGAACAGCCGGAUUGCAGCUCCAAUGGGGUCAGAUGAAGAGGGCCAGCUGUAGCCUUAAAGACCUCCACAUCCCCGGAGUACUAGAGGGGUACUGGACACUCAGUGAUCACUUCCUUGGACUCAGGGAAGCAUUUACACCGACCAGAGGGGAAGCUUACCUAACCAUUGCUGGUGCAUGGGUUGAGCCUGAAGUGAGUCUGCUACAGGCCAACUGGAGAAGAAGGAUAGGGUCCUAGUGCUGCUCAGACCACGAGGGGAGCACAAGCACCCGGAGAGCCUAUCUGGGUCACGGAACCAAAACGCUGGCCUUCCUGCUGGGGUGGGAAGGUGUCCUGGGACUCGGAAUCUCGGAAUCUCAGGACAGCUCUGAGGGAGGAUGGUAUCCCAACGGAAAAGCAUCCUGAGACAUGGGGGCCCAGGAACCACACAGCUCUGAGAGGAAGCCUCCUCCGCAGAGCAUUUGCAGCCCCUGAGGAGGUACAACAGGAAAGGCUUUGCCCACCUCUGGAGUGGUGUCCAUAGCCAACAGUGAGACUUAAAAUGGCCAUGUUGAAGGAACCGUGUCAUUGGAGGUGGGCUUUAAGAAUGUAAGGACUCGGUCUCUCACUGCAGCAACGCAAGCGCGAGCUCGGAAAGAGAAUCCACGUGUUGUAAGAAAAUGGCAGACAAGGCAGACAUGCGGGAAAUCGCCAGCUUCGAUAAGGCCAAGCUGAAGAAAACCGAGACGCAGGAGAAUAACACCCUGCCGACCAAAGAGACCAUCGAACAGCUCAGGAUGUGAGCCCUCGGCUUCCACUUCAGCCACCAAGCCUGCUGCAUGCUGCCAGGCUUCCCAGACAUGACAAACUCUGGAUCCACAAGCCCAAAUAAAGUCUCAUAUAAAUGGUC